AAAUUGAAGAGUUUGAUCAUGGCUCAGAUUGAACGCUGGCGGCAGGCCUAACACAUGCAAGUCGAGCGGUAGCACAGAGAGCUUGCUCUCGGGUGACGAGCGGCGGACGGGUGAGUAAUGUCUGGGAAACUGCCUGAUGGAGGGGGAUAACUACUGGAAACGGUAGCUAAUACCGCAUAAUGUCGCAAGACCAAAGUGGGGGACCUUCGGGCCUCAUGCCAUCAGAUGUGCCCAGAUGGGAUUAGCUAGUAGGUGGGGUAACGGCUCACCUAGGCGACGAUCCCUAGCUGGUCUGAGAGGAUGACCAGCCACACUGGAACUGAGACACGGUCCAGACUCCUACGGGAGGCAGCAGUGGGGAAUAUUGCACAAUGGGCGCAAGCCUGAUGCAGCCAUGCCGCGUGUGUGAAGAAGGCCUUCGGGUUGUAAAGCACUUUCAGCGGGGAGGAAGGCGGUGAGGUUAAUAACCUCAUCGAUUGACGUUACCCGCAGAAGAAGCACCGGCUAACUCCGUGCCAGCAGCCGCGGUAAUACGGAGGGUGCAAGCGUUAAUCGGAAUUACUGGGCGUAAAGCGCACGCAGGCGGUCUGUCAAGUCGGAUGUGAAAUCCCCGGGCUUAACCUGGGAACUGCAUUCGAAACUGGCAGGCUAGAGUCUUGUAGAGGGGGGUAGAAUUCCAGGUGUAGCGGUGAAAUGCGUAGAGAUCUGGAGGAAUACCGGUGGCGAAGGCGGCCCCCUGGACAAAGACUGACGCUCAGGUGCGAAAGCGUGGGGAGCAAACAGGAUUAGAUACCCUGGUAGUCCACGCCGUAAACGAUGUCGAUUUGGAGGUUGUGCCCUUGAGGCGUGGCUUCCGGAGCUAACGCGUUAAAUCGACCGCCUGGGGAGUACGGCCGCAAGGUUAAAACUCAAAUGAAUUGACGGGGGCCCGCACAAGCGGUGGAGCAUGUGGUUUAAUUCGAUGCAACGCGAAGAACCUUACCUG
rnacentral:rRNA from 1 species